AUGGCUAUAACUCCCGAUUACAAUUGACAUGACAGUACAAUUCAUUUCUCAUCUUCCUACUCUCUCUAUCUUUUCAAAUCCAAACUACGAUGGUGUGCUCCGAUGGUGUGCUUGCUUUGGCGAUGAUUCAAACCAUGACUACAGAUCUGAAGAGGAUUGAGAUCAGGAAAGGAAUGACAAAGAUUGAAGCUGCUACGCCUGGGACAUGACCGUUUGACGGCUUUGUCAUCCACAACACUGUUGCUGGAAUCCUCCAUUUUAGGGAUUCUUAUUCAUCGUUGCGUUGUUGGUAAAGGGUUCAGAUUUUUCCAAGCCUCUGUCGAUGAAGGAGUUUUUUAUUUGGGGAAACCUUUGAAAUCUAAUUUUGUAAGAUUAAAGCUUUUAUUUGAAACUGAAAUUGAGAACUGGUGUGUUUUAAGGUUUUGCAUAUAUGCAUCCGUGUGGUUACUUAACUCAU
rnacentral:lncRNA from 1 species